CAGCCGCCGCGGUAAUACAGAGGGUGCUAGCGUUAAUCGGAUUUACUGGGCGUAAAGCGUGCGUAGGCGGCUUCUUAAGUCGGAUGUGAAAUCCCUGAGCUUAACUUAGGAAUUGCAUUCGAUACUGGGAAGCUAGAGUAUGGGAGAGGAUGGUAGAAUUCCAGGUGUAGCGGUGAAAUGCGUAGAGAUCUGGAGGAAUACCGAUGGCGAAGGCAGCCAUCUGGCCUAAUACUGACGCUGAGGUACGAAAGCAUGGGGAGCAAACAGGAUUAGAUACCCCGGUAGUCCCUGUCUCUUAUAC
rnacentral:rRNA from 1 species